AAUCAUGCUAUUGCACUCCCUGAUACUACAUUUAAAAUCACAGAACAAUUUCUGAGUUUUUUUUUUAAUCAACAAGGUUGACACUAUCAGAUGUUGUAUUUCACCUACUGAUCAUGAACCUUCUAAAUCAAUCCUAUGCCCUGCUUCUCUGAAUUGUUACCCAAUUUAAAG